rnacentral:misc_RNA from 1 species
AAGUGCGAGGAACAGCUCACACAUGCGCCUCAGCUCCGUACGAACAGAAAGAAAAUAAUAAGUAAAACAAAACUCCCCAUAUAUAGCCACGGACGCCCCAGCCGCCAUACAUCGAAGGGAACACACUCCCCUGUGCACACCUGCACAGGUCUCGCCUCCUAUUUCUCUCUUUCGCGUGUGCAUUUAUCUCUGAGUUUUUGCGUUUGUGUGUGUGUCUGUCUUGGUGCACAUCAGCGACCGUCCUUAUCUUUGGGCCUCUCCCUGUCCUCCAAAUAGAUUGAGAUCUAUACAGGAAAGCAAAACAGAAGACGAGGGGGACGCACGCUGGCGUUGCGCCAGCACCGCUUCUUCUUUCUCCUCCACGUUUGUCUGCUUAGUUUUCACCGCCGCCCCCGCUCUCUCCCUGUACCCAUCCUCACUAUCUGCCCUCUCUUCGCUCAUUCUCUUGCUUGCUUCUUUUUUCAAUCUUCGUUUCGCGUGUUUGUACGUUGUGCGCUGCCUUCUGAGCGGUGUUGGUGACAGCGAGUUUUUGCCCUUCUCCGGUUUGUUUCGCACCUCUCUGCUCCUUGCACUCUCUUUCUUGGAGGGCGGGCAUCACCCAGUUCUCCUCGCCGCGCCACUGUCUGACUGCUGCCGUUUGUCUUUGCUGCUGUUGUGCGUGGACACGUGCGCAUCAAGUUUGUGUGUGUGCAGGUGAGGCGGCGCCGGGCUGGUGACUUGAUUCAUUCACGUCUCUUUCUAAAAAGCGUGUGACUUCGCAAUGGCCACGCUCACCGAGGACGAAAUCGCGCCAUCUGCCAUUGCGGCUGAGCGGGAGAGACUGCAAGAAGCGACGCAGCACGUCGCACAGCUUGAGAGGCGACUGGAUGCUCUACAGAGAGAGUUGGAGGCAGCUCGCACCCAGCGGGAGCAGCUGCUUUUGAGUGUGCAAUGGCGAGAACUCAUGGCAGCCGUGAAUGCUGAUGAGGAAGUGUACGCCGUGGCGGAGCGGAUGAUGGACGCCUUCGCUGCGUUUCGUGAGUCCCUCGUGGAGCCGGAGAACUACCUACGAGAGCAGAGAGAAGAGGCGCUGAACGAGGAUGACAUCGUGCCAUACAGCGACACGGACGACUACGCCGACUUUAGCGGAGUGGAGACAGUGGUGGAGGAGCUGCUGGCCGCCGUCAAGGAACAGCUAGAGUCGCACGCGGCGGCGCCGCCGUCGUCGUUCCGGCAGAGCAAACACAGCUCGUUGGGUGGUUCAUUUGCGUCAGAUGAAAAGCCCAAUCACCCUGCUGGCGAGUCGGCGGAGGCGCACAAAGUGAACGCUGAUGCACGGCGUCAAGCACUUCUGAAGCUGCUCGUUAUAACAGUACUGAUGGGCAGAGUGGAGCAGUACUGCCGGUUCAAGUCCAUCUCCGACGCCAGCAACGUGCCGCAGUCAGACGCAGAGGAGAUGCGGGACGGCGUGGCUUCAGUUUGGCAGUGGCUCUUCCACGAGCAGCCAGGGGUGCUGACGGCAGAAGAGGGCGCAGAGUGGAAGCACAUUGCAGGCUCCUUUCUUGGGGAUAGCUACACCGUGGCACCGUAGGCCACCAGACGUGCACGGCGAAGACUGAAAAGAUGUCGAUCAGCAAGAAGUGCUGACAGACGGUACCAAUGUGCUAUCACCUCCCUUACGUUUUCUGAUCAUCUGGAAGGCACCUUCUACGCUUACUUGUUCGAGGCGCACACGUCAACGCCAGUAUCGGUCCUCGAUAGGCCUCGGCUCGAUGCCACAACCCCCUCCCCGCAUGUACAAUGCACUGCGCACAUGUGGCCCUCCCAACAUUUUCUCGAAGCCUCACCCAUCUCUCACUGUUUUGGGGUCGAAAG